GACGAACCGUGCGAACGUUGUUCGGAAUCACUGGGCUUAAAGGGCGCGUAGGCGGACGACCAAGUCGGGGGGUGAAAUCUUUCGGCUCAACCGGAAAAUAGCCUUCGAUACUGGCCGUCUGGAGGGAGGUAGGGGCGUGUGGAACUUCCGGUGGAGCGGUGAAAUGCGUUGAUAUCGGAAGGAACUCCGGUGGCGAAAGCGACACGCUGGAUCUCAUCUGACGCUGAGGCGCGAAAGCCAGGGGAGCGAACGGG
rnacentral:rRNA from 1 species